rnacentral:rRNA from 1 species
UGGGGAAUAUUGGGCAAUGGGCGCAAGCCUGACCCAGCAACGCCGCGUGAAGGAAGAAGGCUUUCGGGUUGUAAACUUCUUUUGUCAGGGACGAAAAAAAUGACGGUACCUGCAGAAUAAGCUCCGGCUAACUACGUGCCAGCAGCCGCGGUAAUACGUAGGGAGCAAGCGUUAUCCGGAUUUACUGGGUGUAAAGGGCGCGUAGGCGGGAAUGCAAGUCAGAUGUGAAAUCUGGGGGCUCAACCCCCAAACUGCAUUUGAAACUGGAUUUCUUGAGUGAUGGAGAGGCAAGUGGAAUUCCUAGUGUAGCGGUGAAAUGCGUAGAUAUUAGGAGGAACACCAGUGGCGAAGGCGACUUGCUGGACAUUAACUGACGCUGAGGCGCGAAAGCGUGGGGAGCAAACA